GAUGAACGCUGGCGGCGUGCCUAAUACAUGCAAGUCGAGCGAACAGACGAGGGGCUUGCUCCUCUGACGUUAGCGGCGGACGGGUGAGUAACACGUGGAUACCCUCCCUAUAAGACUGGGAUAACUUCGGGAAACCGGAGCUAAUACCGGAUAAUAUAUUGAACCGCAUGGUUCAAUAGUGAAAUACGGUUUUGCUGUCACUUAUAGGUGGAUCCGCGCCGCAUUAGCUAGUUGGUAAGGUAACGGCUUACCAAGGCAACGAUGAGUAGCCGACCUGAGAGGGUGAUCGGCCACACUGGAACUGAGACACGGUCCAGACUCCUACGGGAGGCAGCAGUAGGGAAUUUUCCGCAAUGGGCGAAAGCCUGCCGGAGCAACGCCGCGUGAGUGAUGAAGGUCUUCGGAUCGUAAAACUCUGUUAUUAGGGAAGAACAAAUGUGUAAGUAACUAUGCACGUCUUGACGGUACCUAAUCAGAAAGCCACGGCUAACUACGUG
rnacentral:rRNA from 1 species